rnacentral:misc_RNA from 1 species
GGGUUAAAUAAAUUUUGGUAGUUCAAUGGAGGUAGUAAAUAGUUUGAUUCCAGUAUUUCACUUAACAUCCUCAUAUGAAUAAAUCUUCUAUUUUGGAUUUCUAGAAUUAAAAGAAAAUUAUUGUUUUUUCUCGAAGUAUUAAAAGCAAGUAGUUGAAGGAUUUUUCUGAUUAUGGAGGUAGUUGAAAGAAAUUUUAAAAUGGAUUGCUUCCUAUUCCUUUUUUG